rnacentral:rRNA from 1 species
AAUGAACGCUGGCGGCAUGCCUAACACAUGCAAGUCGAGCGAGCGGCGGACGGGUGCGUACUGUCUGGGAACCUGCCUGAUGGAUGGGGAUAACUACGGGAAACGGUAGCUAAUACGGCAUAACAUCAGCUGUGGCCAGAUGGGAUUAGCUAGUAGGUGGGGUAACGGCUAACCAAGGCGACGAUCCCUAGCUGGCCUGAGAGGAUGAUCAGCCACACUGGAACUGAGACACGGUCCAGACUCCUACGGGAGGCAGCAGUGGGGAAUAUUGGACAAUGGGCGAAAGCCUGAUCCAGCCACGCCGCGUGUGUGAAGAAGGCCUUCGGAUUGUAAAGCACUGUCGUCGGGGAGGCGGUACCCGCAGAAGAAGCACCGGCUAACUCCGUGCCAGCAGCCGCGGUAAUUC